rnacentral:rRNA from 1 species
UACAGAGGUCUCAAGCGUUGUUCGGAUUCAUUGGGCGUAAAGGGUGCGUAGGCGGCGCGGUAAGUCGGGUGUGAAAUCUCGGAGCUUAACUCCGAAACUGCAUUCGAUACUGCCGUGCUUGAGGACUGGAGAGGAGACUGGAAUUUACGGUGUAGCGGUGAAAUGCGUAGAUAUCGUAAGGAAGACCAGUGGCGAAGGCGGGUCUCUGGACAGUUCCUGACACUGAGACAUGAAGGCCAGGGGAGCAAACGGG